UACGAAGGGGGCUAGCGUUGCUCGGAAUCACUGGGCGUAAAGCGCACGUAGGCGGGUCCUUAAGUCAGGGGUGAAAUCCCGGAGCUCAACUCCGGAACUGCCUUUGAUACUGGGGAUCUUGAGUCCGGAAGAGGUGAGUGGAACUCCGAGUGUAGAGGUGAAAUUCGUAGAUAUUCGGAAGAACACCAGGUGGCGAAGGCGACUUACUGGACGACUGUUGACACUGAGGUGCGGAAAGCGAUGGGG
rnacentral:rRNA from 1 species